rnacentral:ncRNA from 1 species
UAAAAGUUUUUUAGCUUUAAUUUAUUGUGUAAAAUUACUUUAAAUGCAAGUUUUAGCUAGACAAGUAUUUAUUUUUAGAUAGAAUAUUAACAAAUUUCCUUGUGUGAAUUCGCAUUAAACAAUUUUAUUUAUUUAAGAGAUUUUGAAAUAGUAAUUUUUAAUUUGCAUAAACUAAACUUGUGCCAGCAGUUGCGGUUAAACAGGGUAUGUUGCAGUAAAUCUUCGGUAUUAGUAAGUAAAUCUAUGAAUUUAUAAAGAAGUUUAUUAAGUGAAAUUUUAAAUUUUAAUAAGUUUUUAUUAGGGUAUAUAAGGCUGAAAAAUUUUUAUUUUAGACUAGGAUUAGAUACCCUAUUAUAAAAAAAGUAACCUAUUUACUGAAUUAUUAGUAGUUAUGAUCUUGAAAAUUAAAAAAGUUGGCGGUAUUUUAGUCUAUUCAGAGGAACCUGUCCUGUAAUCGAUGGUCCACGUUUUUACUAACUUAUUUUAUUAAUUUGCAUAUCUCCGUAGGUUGAAUAUUUUCAAAUAAAUAGAAUGUUCAAGAUUUUUAGUGAUAAUAAAUCAGGUCAAGGUGUAGUUUAUAGAUGAGAAGAGAUGGGUUACAAUAAAUAUAUUUAAACGAAUGAAUUUUUGUAAUAAAAUUUUGAAGGCGGAUUUGAUGGUAAUUUUAAACAAAUAUUUAAAAUGAUUAAAGCUCUAAAGUAUGUACAUAUCGCCCGUCGCUUUCACUCCAAAGUGGAAUAAGUCGUAACAAAGUAGGUGUACUGGAAAGUGCACCUAGAAAGGU